rnacentral:RNase_P_RNA from 1 species
GGAGUAGACCAGGCAAUCGCGUCCGAAAAAGGAUGAGGAAAGUCCGAACACCACAGGGCACUUCGCCGGGUAACGCCCGGGAGGAGCGAUCCUACGGAAAGUGCAACAGAAAAUACACAGCCGCUAUUAACGGCAAUGGUGAAAUGGCGAGGUAAGAGCUCACCAGGGAGCAGGAGACUGUUUCCCUUUGUAAACCCCGAAGGGUGCAAGACCAAAUAGGAGGGGAGAAGUUGCCCGCUUCGUUUUACCCUCGGGUAGGUCGCUUGAGGUAUGCUGUAAAGCAUAUCCCAGAUAAAUGAUUGCCCAAUACAGAAUUCGGCUUAUGGUCUACUCCAAAG